rnacentral:rRNA from 1 species
CCCCCUCAAGAUGAGAUUUCCCAUUUCUUCGGAAAGUAAGAUCCCUGAAAGAUGAUCAGGUAGAUAGGUUUGGAGUGGAAGUGUAGCGAUACAUGGAGCGGACAAAUACUAAUCGAUCGAGGACUUAACCAAAA